rnacentral:rRNA from 1 species
UGGGGAAUAUUGCGCAAUGGGGGGAACCCUGACGCAGCCAUGCCGCGUGAACGAAGAAGGCCUUAGGGUUGUAAAGUUCUUUCGGUAUUGAGGAAGGUUGAUGUGUUAAUAGCACAUCAAAUUGACGUUAAAUACAGAAGAAGCACCGGCUAACUCCGUGCCAGCAGCCGCGGUAAUACGGAGGGUGCGAGCGUUAAUCGGAAUAACUGGGCGUAAAGGGCACGCAGGCGGUUAUUUAAGUGAGGUGUGAAAGCCCCGGGCUUAACCUGGGAAUUGCAUUUCAGACUGGGUAACUAGAGUACUUUAGGGAGGGGUAGAAUUCCACGUGUAGCGGUGAAAUGCGUAGAGAUGUGGAGGAAUACCGAAGGCGAAGGCAGCCCCUUGGGAAUGUACUGACGCUCAUGUGCGAAAGCGUGGGGAGCAAACAGGAUUAGAUACCCUGGUAGUCCACGCUGUAAACGCUGUCGAUUUGGGGGUUGGGGUUUAACUCUGGCGCCCGUAGCUAACGUGAUAAAUCGACCGCCUGGGGAGUACGGCCGCAAGGUUA